GAUGAACGCUGGCGGCGUGCCUAAUACAUGCAAGUCGAACGCAUAGCGAAAGGUGCUUGCCCCUUUCAAGUGAGUGGCGAACGGGGGAGUAACACGUGGACAACCUGCCUCAAGGCUGGGGAUAACAUUUGGAAACAGAUGCUAAUACCGAAUAAAACUUAGUGUCACAUGACACAAAGUUAAAAGGCGCUUCGGCGUCACCUAGAGAUGGAUCCGCGGUGCAUUAGUUAGUUGGUGGGGUAAAGGCCUACCAAGACAAUGAUGCAUAGCCGAGUUGAGAGACUGAUCGGCCACAUUGGGACUGAGACACGGCCCAAACUCCUACGGGAGGCUGCAGUAGGGAAUCUUCCACAAUGGGCGAAAGCCUGAUGGAGCAACGCCGCGUGUGUGAUGAAGGCUUUCGGGUCGUAAAGCACUGUUGUAUGGGAAGAACAGCUAGAAUAGGAAAUGAUUUUAGUUUGACGGUACCAUACCAGAAAGGGACGGCUAAAUACGUG
rnacentral:rRNA from 1 species